GACGAACGCUGGCGGCGUGCUUAACACAUGCAAGUCGAGGGCAUGGGGCAGCAAUGCCCCGUGACCGGCGAACGGGUGCGUAACACGUGAGUGACCUGCCUGGAAGCGGGGGAUAGCCGGCCCAACGGCCGGGUAAUACCGCAUACGCUCUUGUAGGCGCAUGCCUGCUUGAGGAAACCUCCGGGGCUUUCAGAGGGGCGUCGCGGCCUAUCAGCUCGUUGGCGGUGAACGGACCACCAAGGCGAUGACGGGUAGCUGGUCUGAGAGGAUGGCCAGCCACAUUGGGACUGAGAGACGGCCCAGACUCCUACGGGAGGCAGCAGUGGGGAAUCUUGCGCAAUGGCCGCAAGGCUGACGCAGCGACGCCGCGUGGUGGGAGGACGCCCUCGGGUCGGUAAC
rnacentral:rRNA from 1 species